GAUGAACGCUAGCUACAGGCUUAACACAUGCAAGUCGAGGGGAAACGACAUCGAAAGCUUGCUUUUGAUGGGCGUCGACCGGCGCACGGGUGAGUAACGCGUAUCCAACCUGCCCACCACUUGGGGAUAACCUUGCGAAAGUAAGACUAAUACCCAAUGACGUCUCUAGAAGACAUCUGAAAGAGAUUAAAGAUUUAUCGGUGAUGGAUGGGAAUGCGUCUGAUUAGCUUGUUGGCGGGGUAACGGCCCACCAAGGCGACGAUCAGUAGGGGUUCUGAGAGGAAGGUCCCCCCACAUUGGAACUGAGACACGGUCCAAACUCCUACGGGAGGCAGCAGUGAGGAAUAUUGGUCAAUGGGCAGAGCCUGAACCAGCCAAGUAGCGUGUGGGACGAAUGCCCUAUGGGUUGUAAACCACUUUUGCAGGAGGUAAAAUGCUUCACGUGUGGAGUAUUGCAAGUAUCCUGCGAAUAAGGACC
rnacentral:rRNA from 1 species